GUUCUGAGAGGAUGAUCCGCCACACUGGGACUGAGACACGGCCCAGACUCCUACGGGAGGCAGCAGUGGGGAAUAUUGGACAAUGGGCGGAAGCCUGAUCCAGCCAUGCCGCGUGUGUGAAGAAGCCCUUUUGGUUGUAAAGCACUUUAAGCGAGGAGGAGGCUCCUUUAGUUAAUACCUGAAGUGAGUGGACGUUACUCGCAGAAUAAGCACCGGCUAACUCUGUGCCAGCAGCCGCGGUAAUACAGAGGGUGCGAGCGUUAAUCGGAUUUACUGGGCGUAAAGCGUGCGUAGGCGGCUUUUUAAGUCGGAUGUGAAAUCCCUGAGCUUAACUUAGGAAUUGCAUUCGAUACU
rnacentral:rRNA from 1 species